rnacentral:rRNA from 1 species
CGCGCUACUGCCGCCAGACAAAUUCUUUUUCAAAUGCCGAACUCAGAAGUGAAACGCCGUAGCGCCGAUGGUAGUGUGGGGUCUCCCCAUGCGAGAGUAGGGAACUGCCAGGCA